GGGGCUAUAGCUCAGCUGGGAGAGCGCCUGCCUUGCGCGCAGGAGGUCAGCGGUUCGAUCCCGCUUAGCUCCA
rnacentral:tRNA from 1 species